GUACUGGCCUUGUGGCCUCGCUCCUCUCUCCCUCCUCUGGUCGAUCCCUAUCCACUCCAAAGAAAAGGAAAAUAACCCCAUCGGCACCUGGUUCUUCAUCCACACGCAUCAUUUCGCCAGAUUUGCUGCCGGCGAAGGUAGAUAUCGCUCGUGGGCGGUGGCCAUCAUUGAGAGUCUACCCCCCUCUAAAAUUUCUCUUCCUGGGGUUGGUGGCGUAGGUGGCCGGGUGAGUGCGUGAACGCGUUUGAUGCGGUCUUCAGGGUGCAGAUGCUCGCCCACCUCGGCGAGUCCGGCGGCGAGGCCAUCAGGAGGUCCGGCGGCUAGCGACGGUGGUGGAUGUGCUGGAGGUUGGUGGCAUUGAGGGGGCAGUAAGGAAGCUCACGGAGAAGGGUGUGGAUUUCCUAGAUGAGUUCGUGCAAUGGAUAAUGGUCGGUUCUGAGGAGCGGGGCAGAGACUUGCACUGCGGCUAUGCUUCAUGAGAGCUAUGGGGUUAUGUAGACAAAUGUGAGAUCGUGCCAUAAGCAAAUGACAUCAAGAUCUGAGCACCGUUGCAGACGGCCUCGAGUUAUUUUCCUCUUCAUCUCCUACAAAAUGUUGCUUGCAUGGUCAAUUUGGGCAUCGGUUUGUUAAGCAGCAAAAGCUCGCAUGUUGAAUCUACUCAACUCAAGUAUUGAGAGUCUGGUUUUCCUCAAAAAGUGGCGAUUUCAUAUCUUAGAAGAAGUCUCGCAUUAGUUCAAAUUUGAACUAAAACCAUAACACUUAUUUUGGAUCGAGGAGUAUGAAUUUGGUAUUGAUUCUUGUGUUGAGUUCCUGCACAUUUGGAGCAAAUCGAGUAUAAUAAUUAUCUUAGAUUGGUGAAUAAAGAUGAGUCAAGAUAAAUUAGCUGAGAAAUAAUAAAAGUUGGUCUUUCAUACCUGUCAACAAUUUCCCAAGUUUAUGGUAUAUCUAGAUCUGUAUAGAUUCUUAUGACACUUGACUUUAAGCAUAAUCAUGUUUAAUCAAAGUAAAUUCUGUUAGACAUAUUUUUAUAAGGGAGAAGUAUAUUUUUUGUCCCUAAACUCUUUUGAAAGUAUAGAAAUAGUCCUUGAAUUCAAAAAUCAGCAAAACUUAGUCCCUCAACUUUUCAAACCGGAUUAGUUUAGUCUCUCAUACCGCUUCGAGUGGUUUCCAUCUGAUGUGGACAUGGUUUUGACCAAAAACUUGAAACGUCACCUAGGCUUGACCGCCACGUCAGUCCAUGUCAUUUUUUUCAAAGCACAGUGCAUGUCACCAAGGGCCCCAGUACUACCAGGCGCGGCGAGUUCGGAUGAGAAGCCGGACAGCGUCGUCCAUGACGGUCAUGCGGCGGAGACAAAGUGCUCGAGCGGCCAGAGGAGCUCGGCGACCCAGGGCGUGGCGUUGGCAGACGAGUUACUUGGCCUCCGUGUUGCACGGGCCGUCGAGCUGCAGCCUGCGCCCAGCGCGACGCCGCUGACCUUUUGGACAGGAGGCCUGAGCAGGAGGAGGAGCUCGAGGCCGCGAGCUCGGACAAGCCCUCCGCGGGCACCUCCACUGACCGCGUUGGUCAUGCAUCCGAUCGUAUGCAUCAGGGUGUAAGGUGCAGUCUAGGGAGCAACACAUCACGUGCGUGUGUAUUCUGGGCGAGAUCGGAUCAGCAUGUUCGUUGUGUUUGGCCUGCAUCUCCUGCGGGCCGAAUCAAUACGUAUGUUCACGUAUACCUACGUGUUUUGCCGGCGGCUAGAAUCAAUCCAGCAGCUAGUCUGCACUUCGUGUUCCUUUUUGGAGCACGCCUGCCUCACAGGAGACCCAAGGCCGCGCCCUGGUGCACCAGCUCAUUGCAGGAGCUCGCGAUCCCUGCUCGCGUGGUGCCCCUCCAUCCAUCCUAGCUAUGGUCAUGUCAAGCCCAACCACAACAUGAAUGAAGAACGGUAAGUCCGUCAGUGCAGACCUUGGUUUUAUGAGGACCCGCGCGAGCGUGCAGACUUGAGCCACCAGCGGUGGCAGCGACACGAGCAAAAGAGCAGCUUUGGGAGCUUCACGCCGUUGACCCUGCCUCCAGCACUCUAACAGACCAAGGGAAUACACAGGCCAUCGUUAAUCAGCCUCAUCAUGGACCACCCGGGCCGACGCGCACCGAGCCGCACCACGCCGGCUGCAGGCGCAGCAAUAUUUGCCCGUUGCACACACUGCCGGGCGCCGUCGACACGCACUGCCCGCUCGCUGAGCAU